AUAUUAAGUUGUUGCAGUUAAAAAGCUCGUAGUUGGAUUUCGGUUGAGAGCGGCCGGUCCGCCGUUUGGUGUGCACUGGCUGGUUUCAGCUUCCUGCAGAGGACGCGGUCUGGGCUUAAUCGUCUGGACGUGGAGUCUGCGUGGUUACUUUGAAAAAAUUAGAGUGUUCAAAGCGGGCUUACGCUUGAAUAUUUCAGCAUGGAAUAACACUAUAGGACUCCUGUCCUAUUUCGUUGGUCUCGGGACGGGAGUAAUGAUUAAGAGGAACAGUUGGGGGCAUUCGUAUUUCAAUGUCAGAGGUGAAAUUCUUGGAUUUUUGAAAGACGAACUUCUGCGAAAGCAUUUGCCAAGGAUGUUUUCAUUAAUCAAGAACGAAAGUUGGGGGCUCGAAGAUGAUUAGAUACCAUCCUAGUCUCAACCAUAAACGAUGCCGACUAGGGAUUGGCGGAUGUUAAUUGAUGACUCCGCCAGCACCUUAUGAGAAAUCAAAGUUUUUGGGUUCCGGGGGGAGUAUGGUCGCAAGGCUGAAACUUAAAGGAAUUGACGGAAGGGCACCACCAGGCGUGGAGCCUGCGGCUUAAUUUGACUCAACACGGGGAAACUUACCAGGUCCAGAC
rnacentral:rRNA from 1 species